AGAGCGAACGCUGGCGGCAGGCCUAACACAUGCAAGUCGAGCGGCCGUAGCAAUACGGCAGCGGCAGACGGGAUAGUAACACGUGGGAACGCGCCCUUCGGUUCGGAAUAACUCAGGGAAACUUGAGCUAAUACCGGAUACGCCCUUACGGGGAAAGAUUUAUUGCCGAAGGAACGGCCCGCGUCGGAUUAGCUAGUUGGUGAGGUAAUGGCUCACCAAGGCGACGAUCCGUAGCUGGUCUGAGAGGAUGACCAGCAUCACUGGGACUGAGACACGGCCCAGACUCCUACGGGAGGCAGCAGUGGGGAAUAUUGGACAAUGGCGCAAGCCUGAUCCAGCCAUGCCGCAUGGAUGAUGAAGGCCCUAGGGUUGUAAAGUCCUUUUAACGGGGAAGAUAAUGACGGUACCGUAGAAUAAGCCCCGGCUAACUUCGUGCCAGCAGCCGC
rnacentral:rRNA from 1 species